AUGGUGAGGGCGUUCCCCGGGAGAGGCCGCGAGCACAGGCUGCUGGAUCUUCCCUCGCCCCAGAGGGCUGGAGACCGGGGCCACGUCGGACCCCACGGCCUGUGUGGCUUCCCACGGAGGCCGGGCGGGGCGCAGCCAGGAUGCCUGGGGCCAGGAGGCAGGAUCCAGGCAAGCGAGGAGCUGGGCCGGGGAGGAAACUGGGGAGGCCGCGGGUCCCGAAGCCUCCAACGCAGCAGAGUCCGCACGGACAGCUGGUUCGCCCCGGCCGCCGUGCCAGCCAGCUGCACGGCCAGAGCGCCCGAGCCGGGGACCCGCACGGCAGGUGACAGCUCACAGCGGUGCUCCGGUGGAGACUCCCGGGCAAUCUGGGGGGGGGUCGCUUCCAGCCCCUGCCCACCGGUGGGCAGGGACCCCCUCCUCACCAGCAGAGGGGCAGGGGCUUGGGAAGAACCCAGCCUGGCACCCAGGCGCAGCUGGCGGGGGCCACACCCGGGGCCUCUGGGCCUCCGGUGCCUCCAAGGGCAAGUUUGUGGCAGAUUCUCUAACUCAACACUGACGAAAACCCCACCACUUCCUGGAGUUUCUCAUCCCGGAGCAGGCCACAGCCGCCGUCCGGGGAUCCAGCUCCCCAGGCCAGACACACAGAUGUCUGCCUUCCCCACGUACCCACGCGGGAGCAAGGAGCGGCAGGCGUGGGGCCGCCACUGUGGCACCACAUCCCCUGUGGGCACCAGCCUGAGUCCUGGCUGCCCACUUCUGGUCCAGCUCCCCGCGGGUGCUCCUGGGAAGGCAGGCGAGCACGGCCGAGCCCCUGGGCCCCUGCCCCCUCGUGGGGCCUGGAAGGAGCCCCUGCUCCUGGCUCAGCUCCGCCAGCCCUGGUCAUUGUGGCUAUUUGGGGGCGUGAACCAGCGCAUGAAGACCUCUCUCUGUCUCCCUCCCUCCCACUCUGCCUUUCACACAAAUAAGAUAAAUCUUCAAUCAAAGUGCAGCAAGCACGAGCAGCCCAAGCACCCCACAGCGCCCCCCUCCGAGCGAGGCCCCCAGGACAGCCUGCCCGCAGCACACCCCGGCUGA
rnacentral:lncRNA from 1 species